rnacentral:lncRNA from 1 species
GGGACCACCGCCGGCAGGGCCCGCGCCCCUGCCGGGACUCAGAGCCGCUGCAGCCACAGUCGCGAACUGGCGGCCGGCAGGUGCCGGGACCGAGGGCCACCCGGAGCGCAGAGGCGGCACCACCCACACGGAUCCCGUGGGCACCUAGAACUCCGCGGAGGACGCGACGCUCGUUCUUCCCACCCUUAACCCCUCCACUCCGGCCAGCACCCCCGUCGGAUGAGGCACCAGGGAGAGAAAGACCAAGGCCCUUUCGGCGCCCCAUCCACCCUCCCCCCGCGAUCCCUCGCAGGGCCGGGGGCCUCCGGGGGGAUUCGGGCCCUUUAAACCUCCGCCUUCCCGGAGCAUCUUCCAUCUCCACCCGCGCCGCUUCCGACAGCUGGCGGCCGCGGGGAGCCCCGGGGGGCCGGCAGGUAACGCGUGAGGAUGCCCUCCUCGCCACCACGCCUGCCGCCCCCUUAUCUC